rnacentral:rRNA from 1 species
CGUGCAGGCGGUUUUGUAAGUCGGACGUGAAAGCUCCUGGCUCAACUGGGAGAGGCCGUUCGAGACUGCGAGACUUGAGGUCGGGAGAGGGACGUGGAAUUCCCGGUGUAGUGGUGGAAUGCGUAGAUAUCGGGAGGAACACCAGUGGCGAAGGCGGCGUCCUGGCCCGCACCUGACGCUAAGACGCGAAAGCGUGGGUAGCGAACG